rnacentral:rRNA from 1 species
UACGUAGGUGGCUAGCGUUGUCCGGAUUUACUGGGCGUAAAGAGCGCGCAGGCGGUCGUUCAAGUCGAGUGUGAAAGCCCCCGGCUCAACUGGGGAGGGUCACUCGAUACUGAUCGACUCGAAGGCAGGAGAGGGAAGCGGAAUUCCCGGUGUAGUGGUGAAAUGCGUAGAUAUCGGGAGGAACACCAGUGGCGAAGGCUGCUUUCUGGCCUGUUCUUGACGCUGAGGCGCGAAAGCUAGGGUAGCAAACGGG